rnacentral:lncRNA from 1 species
GAUGGUGUAAUGUGUGAGGAGCAGCACUGUGGGGAGGAAGCCUUUCCCUGGUCAUGAACUGCCUGGAUCGCUACCUGUCCAGCAUCUCCACCCAAUGGCACAGUUGCAGCUCCUGGGUGCAGUCCACAUCCUGCUGGCCUCCAAGCUGGGUGAGACCUUACUCCUGACCAUCAAAUAACCAUGCAUCUGCACCAACCACGCUGUCUCUCCUCGCCAGUUGUGGCUGUGAUUGCUCUGAUUUCCUGACCCUGAUUCUGCACCAGCUCUCUCUGCCCUGUGACCAACAGAUCUUGGUUGAAAAGCACUCCUUGACUUUUUUGUCCCUGUGUGCUAGAGCUUGCACUUUUGCUGUGUACCUGUCAGGCAUGAUUGCAUCAGGCACCACUAAGGCCAUGUGCAAGGCCGGGGUGACUGCUCCACACCAAGGAUGAGCUCACAGAGCUGCUGGCAGGGGUCACAUGGGUCACUGAAGUGGGCUGCCUGCAGGCCGCUGCACCCAGACUGGGAAACAAAAAGUAUUUUAUCAUCCCAGGAGUG